UCGCGUCGGGACCCCGAAAGGUGGUGAUCUAUCCGUGCGCGCGGCGAAGCCGGGGGAAACCCCGGUGGAGGCCCGUCGACGGUACUGACGUGCAAAUCGUUCGUCCGACGUGCGAAUAGGGGCGAAAGACCAAUCGAACCUCCUAGUAGCUGGUUUCCGCCGAAAAUUUCCCUCAGGAUAGCGGCCAUCGCGGAAACGUUUUGACCGGUAGAGCGAACGACUAGAGGUACCGGGGCCGUAACGGCCUCGACCUUAUUCUCGAACUCCGAACGGGCAAGGAGCCGGGGUCGCCCGAUCGGACCCCGGACGUGAAGUCGACGAUGGUCGGUGGGCUGGUUUUGGUAAGCAGAACGGGCGAUUCGGGAUGAACCGGAAGCGGGGAGAAAGGGCCCGAGAUUGCGUCGACGCGGAUCCCGAAAAGGGCGUCGAUCCGUCGCGACAGCGGGACGGUG
rnacentral:rRNA from 1 species